CAGCCACAUGCCGCACAUGCGGCCAUUGCCGGCUCACGUAGGUUCGUUCGCGUGGUCUUGUUACGCCUCGCUGGAUCGUGUUCAGUCAUGCCGUCCUUGCGCGGCGUGAUUGUCGGUGAGUCAGGUUAAAUUCUUAAAUAGGUCGCGCCUGCGCCUAAUUGAGUCUAUAAAAGCCUGCACAUUCAGUUUUGCUAGCUACAAUGCAGUGCGGCUGGCGUGAGCUGUCUCCACGAUGCGCUUCGAGCGUGUCGAUUUCGCCGUUCUUUAUGUUGGCGUUAACGACCUUGAAAGCAACAUGGAUCCACAAGAAAUGUGCGACAACAUCAAGGCCUUGAUUGUUCAACGAGACGGCCCCCGUCGUGCUGGUUUUCAAGGUGCUCCCUCGCUGCUUAUAGAAGAUGCUGAUGCGGAAUAGAAAAUGCAAAAACGUCGCUUGCUCAACCGCAAAUUGACGGCUACGCUGAAGCGCAUGCCGUGUCUGCGGAAUUUGAACCCCGAGCUUUCCAGAGUUCCUUGGAAAAUCCUCCCAUGCACCUGCCAUGUACAUUGCCCUCCUCCUCGAUGUGGCGUGCAAGAUGGCAGCAGCAGCUGUGGGAACAGUUGAAGAGGCGAAGAAAGGUCUACUUUAUAAUAGGUUGUAUGUAAAUAAAACUGAUCGACCUCAACAGAUUCGGCUUCCACUUUUGUCAAGACAAUUGUCAGCAAAGCAAUGGAGCAAUUUCAGUAGGGCGAUAGUAAUAAAUAGUGCAUAGAAAUUCUUGGAAGCCCCGUCAGCUUUCUUGCUGUUAACAAGCUGUCUUGGUGAGGUGGUUUAGGCAGGGAAUGCCAAUUCAUGAGGGAUGGUCAUGGCCACCAUGUUCAAUGUAUGUGCAGCAUUAAUCAGUUCUCUAGACCGAGUGCACUAAUGUCACAUGAUACAUUUUCAAACCUCGCAUGCUUUCUUUGGGGCUGAGAAAAUUAAUGAAGCAUGAAACUCAGCAUGUUGCAGUUUUCAAUUAACCAUCACUGCAUUUGUCCAUUCUUGAA